UGGGGAAUAUUGGACAAUGGGCGCAAGCCUGAUCCAGCCAUGCCGCGUGAGUGAUGAAGGCCCUAGGGUUGUAAAGCUCUUUCACCGGUGAAGAUAAUGACGGUAACCGGAGAAGAAGCCCCGGCUAACUUCGUGCCAGCAGCCGCGGUAAUACGAAGGGGGCUAGCGUUGUUCGGAUUUACUGGGCGUAAAGCGCACGUAGGCGGACUAUUAAGUCAGGGGUGAAAUCCCGGGGCUCAACCCCGGAACUGCCUUUGAUACUGGUAGUCUUGAGUUCGAGGGAGGUGAGUGGAAUUCCGGGUGUAGAGGUGAAAUUCGUAGAUAUUCGGAGGAACACCAGUGGGGAAGGCGGCUCACUGGCUCGAUACUGACGCUGAGGUGCGAAAGCGUGGGGAGCAAACAGG
rnacentral:rRNA from 1 species